rnacentral:rRNA from 1 species
UACGUAGGGGGCUAGCGUUGUCCGGAAUCAUUGGGCGUAAAGAGCGUGUAGGCGGCUUGGUAAGUCCGCUGUGAAAGUCCAGGGCUCAACCCUGGAAUGCCAGUGGAUACUGUCAAGCUAGAGUCCGGAAGAGGCGAGUGGAAUUCCUGGUGUAGCGGUGAAAUGCGCAGAUAUCAGGAGGAACACCAAUGGCGAAGGCAGCUCGCUGGGGACGGUACUGACGCUGAGACGCGAAAGCGUGGGGAGCAAACAGG